AGUGAACGCUGGCGGUAGGCCUAACACAUGCAAGUCGAACGGCAGCACAGUAAGAGCUUGCUCUUACGGGUGGCGAGUGGCGGACGGGUGAGGAAUACAUCGGAAUCUACUUUUUCGUGGGGGAUAACGUAGGGAAACUUACGCUAAUACCGCAUACGACCUACGGGUGAAAGCAGGGGAUCUUCGGACCUUGCGCGAUUGAAUGAGCCGAUGUCGGAUUAGCUAGUUGGCGGGGUAAAGGCCCACCAAGGCGACGAUCCGUAGCUGGUCUGAGAGGAUGAUCAGCCACACUGGAACUGAGACACGGUCCAGACUCCUACGGGAGGCAGCAGUGGGGAAUAUUGGACAAUGGGCGCAAGCCUGAUCCAGCCAUACCGCGUGGGUGAAGAAGGCCUUCGGGUUGUAAAGCCCUUUUGUUGGGAAAGAAAAGCAGCAGGUUAAUACCCCACUGUUCUGACGGUACCCAAAGAAUAAGCACCGGCUAACUUCGU
rnacentral:rRNA from 1 species